AGCGAACGCUGGCGGCAGGCCUAAUACAUGCAAGUCGAACGGCUCUUCGGAGCAGUGGCGGACGGGUGAGUAACGCGUGGGAAUGUGCCCUUUGGUACGGAACAACACAGGGGAAACUUGUGCUAAAUACCGUAUGUGCCCUUCGGGGAAAGAUUAUCGCCAUUGGAGCAGCCCGCGUUGGAUUAGGUAGUUGGUGAGGUAAAGGCUCACCAAGCCUACGAUCCAUAGCUGGUCUGAGAGGAUGACCAGCCACACUGGGACUGAGACACGGCCCAGACUCCUACGGGAGGCAGCAGUAGGGAAUCUUGCGC
rnacentral:rRNA from 1 species